AAAAAGGAAAUAAAAAAAAAAAAAAAAAACAAACAAACAAACAAACAAGCAUCUGCCUUGGUAUUC
rnacentral:ribozyme from 12 species